rnacentral:rRNA from 1 species
AUUGAACGCUGGCGGCAUGCCUUACACAUGCAAGUCGAACGGCAGCACGGGAGCAAUCCUGGUGGCGAGUGGCGAACGGGUGAGUAAUAUAUCGGAACGUGCCCAGUCGUGGGGAUAACGUAGCGAAAGCUACGCUAAUACCGCAUACGAUCUAAGGAUGAAAGCGGGGGAUCGCAAGACCUCGCGCGAUUGGAGCGGCCGAUAUCAGAUUAGCUAGUUGGUGAGGUAAAGGCUCACCAAGGCGACGAUCCGUAACUGGUCUGAGAGGAUGAUCAGUCACACUGGAACUGAGACACGGUCCAGACUCCUACGGGAGGCAGCAGUGGGGAAUAUUGGACAAUGGGCGAAAGCCUGAUCCAGCCAUGCCGCGUGUGUGAAGAAGGUCUUCGGAUUGUAAAGCACUUUAAGUUGGGAGGAAGGGUAGUAACCUAAUACGUUGCUACUUUGACGUUACCGACAGAAUAAGC